UUAUUAAAAAUACUAACAGAAUCAGCAACUUCCCACAAACGUUAAGUGUCUCGUGACAUUAGCAAGGCCGGCUUGCAAAUGCUAACAAAAUAAUUGGGUAGAUAUUAAAUAGUUAAAACACAAUGGAAGCACAUAUUUCUUAUUCAAGAACGAAUGAUAAGCCCUAAAGUGGUCUUAUAACAAUCCCGACAACCAUGACAUGCUAGCAAACGGUAUCGCAGCUAUAUAUACAUAUAUAUAUGCACAUCAACAUAGGGCUAAUAAACAAGAAGUACUAAUUUUAACAUCCGAUGGUCCCCGAUCUUUUUCUCUGUAAAUUUUUUCUUUUGCGACGUAAAAUUCUGUCCAUCUCAUCGGAAUUUCUGAUUUGGUAAAAAUCACGAAAGAUUUCACUUCCAUAGCCGACUAGUGCAACGUAAUUACCUAGAACAAUGGCUACGCAUCUAUCAGAGACUGCAAGAGAAGGUCCAGGGUCUGCAAUAAUUAAAGAAUUAUACAUCUUUAAAGAUUUGCAGCGGUGCUUCUUUUCAGAUUGAGAGUACAUCCAAACUUCCCAUACCUGGGUUUCACCACCACUAUGCGUAUUUUUUUUGUGUUCCAUGUCUUGCAUAUAAGAAUCUAGAAGGGGUACAUAAGACGUCCAAUUGUAAUGGCCAGUUCGCAACUUUCGGUUACGAAGAGUAAAACCAUUAUCUUCGUUUUUCUCAUCUGCUGUUGGACAAAUCCCCGAUGAACUUUUUCUUCGCAUGCCAAAUAUGUAGAGUCCAUCUGAGCUCAUUACACAUUCACUAGCAUCUUCGACUUCAUGGAUAUUUUCUUGUAGUUCAUCAAAGGUCAAGCAAGCCAGCGAAUUAUCAGGAUCGUGUACGUCCACAAGAUUUGGCUGUUGAUCCCAUUUAUUCAAUAUAAUAUAAGACUCAUUACAUUCAUUACCGUAGUAAUAAUAAAGAACCUUUUCGGUAACAGCGUGAGUAAAACAAAACGAUAUUGAUGACACUCUAAACUGUCCAUUAACAAAUCGACUGUUACUCACGCCAACUGAAAAAGUGUUUACUUUUAUCGGCGGCAGUGUAAAGGAAUGUAAUAGUUCAUCGUUUUUAAGGUCAAUCAUGUCGACACCACUAUCUCGAGCAAGAAACAAAAUGU